rnacentral:rRNA from 1 species
UACGUAGGGGGCAAGCGUUGUCCGGAUUUAUUGGGCGUAAAGAGCGUGUAGGCGGCCAGGUAGGUCCGCUGUGAAAACUCGAGGCUCAACCUCGAGACGUCGGCGGAAACCAUCUGGCUAGAGUCCGGAAGAGGAGAGUGGAAUUCCUGGUGUAGCGGUGAAAUGCGCAGAUAUCAGGAGGAACACCGGUGGCGAAGGCGGGGUCUCUGGGGCAGUAACUGACGUGAGGAGCGAAAAGCGUGGGGGAGCGAAACAGGG